rnacentral:rRNA from 1 species
GGUUAAGCGACUAAGCGUACACGGUGGAUGCCCUGGCAGUCAGAGGCGAUGAAGGACGUGCUAAUCUGCGAUAAGCGUCGGUAAGGUGAUAUGAACCGUUAUAACCGGCGAUUUCCGAAUGGGGAAACCCAGUGUGUUUCGACACACUAUCAUUAACUGAAUCCAUAGGUUAAUGAGGCGAACCGGGGGAACUGAAACAUCUAAGUACCCCGAGGAAAAGAAAUCAACCGAGAUUCCCCCAGUAGCGGCGAGCGAACGGGGAGCAGCCCAGAGCCUGAAUCAGUGUGUGUGUUAGUGGAAGCGUCUGGAAAGGCGCGCGAUACAGGGUGACAGCCCCGUACACAAAAAUGCACAUGCUGUGAGCUCGAUGAGUAGGGCGGGACACGUGGUAUCCUGUCUGAAUAUGGGGGGACCAUCCUCCAAGGCUAAAUACUCCUGACUGACCGAUAGUGAACCAGUACCGUGAGGGAAAGGCGAAAAGAACCCCUGCGAGGGGAGUGAAAAAGAACCUGAAACCGUGUACGUACAAGCAGUGGGAGCACGCUUAGGCGUGUGACUGCGUACCUUUUGUAUAAUGGGUCAGCGACUUAUAUUCUGUAGCAAGGUUAACCGAAUAGGGGAGCCGAAGGGAAACCGAGUCUUAACUGGGCGUUAAGUUGCAGGGUAUAGACCCGAAACCCGGUGAUCUAGCCAUGGGCAGGUUGAAGGUUGGGUAACACUAACUGGAGGACCGAACCGACUAAUGUUGAAAAAUUAGCGGAUGACUUGUGGCUGGGGGUGAAAGGCCAAUCAAACCGGGAGAUAGCUGGUUCUCCCCGAAAGCUAUUUAGGUAGCGCCUCGUGAAUUCAUCUCCGGGGGUAGAGCACUGUUUCGGCAAGGGGGUCAUCCCGACUUACCAACCCGAUGCAAACUGCGAAUACCGGAGAAUGUUAUCACGGGAGACACACGGCGGGUGCUAACGUCCGUCGUGAAGAGGGAAACAACCCAGACCGCCAGCUAAGGUCCCAAAGUCAUGGUUAAGUGGGAAACGAUGUGGGAAGGCCCAGACAGCCAGGAUGUUGGCUUAGAAGCAGCCAUCAUUUAAAGAAAGCGUAAUAGCUCACUGGUCGAGUCGGCCUGCGCGGAAGAUGUAACGGGGCUAAACCAUGCACCGAAGCUGCGGCAGCGACGCUUAUGCGUUGUUGGGUAGGGGAGCGUUCUGUAAGCCUGCGAAGGUGUGCUGUGAGGCAUGCUGGAGGUAUCAGAAGUGCGAAUGCUGACAUAAGUAACGAUAAAGCGGGUGAAAAGCCCGCUCGCCGGAAGACCAAGGGUUCCUGUCCAACGUUAAUCGGGGCAGGGUGAGUCGACCCCUAAGGCGAGGCCGAAAGGCGUAGUCGAUGGGAAACAGGUUAAUAUUCCUGUACUUGGUGUUACUGCGAAGGGGGGACGGAGAAGGCUAUGUUGGCCGGGCGACGGUUGUCCCGGUUUAAGCGUGUAGGCUGGUUUUCCAGGCAAAUCCGGAAAAUCAAGGCUGAGGCGUGAUGACGAGGCACUACGGUGCUGAAGCAACAAAUGCCCUGCUUCCAGGAAAAGCCUCUAAGCAUCAGGUAACAUCAAAUCGUACCCCAAACCGACACAGGUGGUCAGGUAGAGAAUACCAAGGCGCUUGAGAGAACUCGGGUGAAGGAACUAGGCAAAAUGGUGCCGUAACUUCGGGAGAAGGCACGCUGAUAUGUAGGUGAAGUCCCUCGCGGAUGGAGCUGAAAUCAGUCGAAGAUACCAGCUGGCUGCAACUGUUUAUUAAAAACACAGCACUGUGCAAACACGAAAGUGGACGUAUACGGUGUGACGCCUGCCCGGUGCCGGAAGGUUAAUUGAUGGGGUCAGCGCAAGCGAAGCUCUUGAUCGAAGCCCCGGUAAACGGCGGCCGUAACUAUAACGGUCCUAAGGUAGCGAAAUUCCUUGUCGGGUAAGUUCCGACCUGCACGAAUGGCGUAAUGAUGGCCAGGCUGUCUCCACCCGAGACUCAGUGAAAUUGAACUCGCUGUGAAGAUGCAGUGUACCCGCGGCAAGACGGAAAGACCCCGUGAACCUUUACUAUAGCUUGACACUGAACAUUGAGCCUUGAUGUGUAGGAUAGGUGGGAGGCUUUGAAGUGUGGACGCCAGUCUGCAUGGAGCCGACCUUGAAAUACCACCCUUUAAUGUUUGAUGUUCUAACGUUGACCCGUGAUCCGGGUUGCGGACAGUGUCUGGUGGGUAGUUUGACUGGGGCGGUCUCCUCCUAAAGAGUAACGGAGGAGCACGAAGGUUGGCUAAUCCUGGUCGGACAUCAGGAGGUUAGUGCAAUGGCAUAAGCCAGCUUGACUGCGAGCGUGACGGCGCGAGCAGGUGCGAAAGCAGGUCAUAGUGAUCCGGUGGUUCUGAAUGGAAGGGCCAUCGCUCAACGGAUAAAAGGUACUCCGGGGAUAACAGGCUGAUACCGCCCAAGAGUUCAUAUCGACGGCGGUGUUUGGCACCUCGAUGUCGGCUCAUCACAUCCUGGGGCUGAAGUAGGUCCCAAGGGUAUGGCUGUUCGCCAUUUAAAGUGGUACGCGAGCUGGGUUUAGAACGUCGUGAGACAGUUCGGUCCCUAUCUGCCGUGGGCGCUGGAGAACUGAGGGGGGCUGCUCCUAGUACGAGAGGACCGGAGUGGACGCAUCACUGGUGUUCGGGUUGUCAUGCCAAUGGCACUGCCCGGUAGCUAAAUGCGGAAGAGAUAAGUGCUGAAAGCAUCUAAGCACGAAACUUGCCCCGAGAUGAGUUCUCCCUGACCCUUUAAGGGUCCUGAAGGAACGUUGAAGACGACGACGUUGAUAGGCCGGGUGUGUAAGCGCAGCGAUGCGUUGAGCUAACCGGUACUAAUGAACCGUGAGGCUUAACCUU